rnacentral:rRNA from 1 species
GACGUAGGGCGCGAGCGUUGUCCGGAUUUAUUGGGCGUAAAGAGCUCGUAGGCGGCUUGUCGCGUCGGCUGUGAAAACCCGCGGCUCAACUGUGGGCGGGCAGCUGAUACGGGCAGGCUGGAGUUCGGUAGGGGAGACUGGAAUUCCGGGUGUAGUGGUGAAAUGCGUAGAUAUCCGGAGGAACACCAGUGGCGAAAGCGGCCACCUGGACUGUACCUGACGCUGACACGCGAAAGCUAGGGGAGCGAACGGG